UUCUUUAUCAGUGAGGGGCUGAUGCUGGACACUGUAGGGACCGAGAAUGCAAAGUCAUAUACACUACUGUGACUGAUGCAUUAUUUCCAGGAUGUGGAGUAGCAUUUCCGGACCUACAGCAAGACGUUGGAUGAAGACGUGGAUUUCCAGACCUAGCAAGAAUUUGGAUGAAGGCACAGCCCCUCGAAUCACGUACAUACACAGACACAUUGGCCCAAAUUCUAGAGGUAACCUCCUUUAGUAUGCCCAGAGGAAGGGCAAUACAGUAGCCAUGGAUUCCCUACAGGUUUCCUCCCCUCUGGAGGUUUUUCCUGUCCUGAGUAUUAGUUACUGUACGCUCUUUGUGAGUGAUGGAGGUUACAUAAAAUCCCUACACAAACAUUUUAAUAUAUAAUAAAUAAAGUUCCCCUUUUUAAACCAUU